rnacentral:rRNA from 1 species
GGGUCAGUAGGUUGGUCGUGCCACCGGUACGUACUGGUCUCACUGAUUCCUCCUUCCUGAAGAACCGUAAUGCCAUUAAUUUGGUGUUGCGGGGAAACAGGACUGUUACUUUGAAAAAAUUAGAGUGUUUAAAUCAAGCUAAGGCUUGAAUACAUUAGCAUGGAAUAAUGAAAUAGGACGAUCGAUCCUAUUUUCUUGGUUUCUAGGAUUGACGUA